CCCUAUGGGGUGCAGCAGGCUGGCGUGACCCGCGAAGAUUGCGUGCUCGAAAUCGGCGCCGGUUUGGCAGCCUGACCAGGCUGCUGGCGGAAGCCGCCGGAGAGGUCAAAGCUGUGGAAAUUGAUGGGCGGCUCAUCCCGGUGCUGCGGGAAGUGGUCAGUGGAUAUUCGGAUGUUGAAAUUAUCCAGGGCGUUAUUCUGGCGAUGGACGCAGGGAAGCUUGCCGGCAGAGCCGGUUACGGGGUGGUGGCGAAUAUUCCCUAUUACAUUACUUCAGCCAUUAUUCGCCAUCUGCUUGAAAAUCCAAUCAAACCGGGAUGGAUGGUGUUAACGAUACAGCGCGAGGUUGCAGAACGGAUUUGCGCAGAGGCGGGAGGGC
rnacentral:rRNA from 1 species